rnacentral:lncRNA from 1 species
AACCCAAGAAAGGCCAGUUAUGCUCUUAUCACGGGCUCUUAUCAUGGGCUCUUAUCACGGGCUCUUAUCAUGGGAUAGGAGGGAGAGGCAGAUGAAUGUCAGGGCAGCUAGCUAAUGUGGCAACUCUGAGGAAGCGGAUAAAGAGCAUUGUUCACACACAAUGGGGUGCUAAUAAGAAAAAAAAUAAAUAAAAGAAUUUCAGUGCUGAUUGGUGCUCCGCUGUCAACAGCUGUACAAAACACGCUUCAAGAGGAGAGCCAGAUGUGGCACUCACAGAUUGUAUGAUUCUGUCCCUGUGAAGUGCGCAGUAAGUCCAGAGAAAAAGGAGCGUGCUGUUGCCAACGGUGGGGAGCGGGCUUGGAAGCUGUUUCGUUAAACCAGUCGUAUGCAACGGAGAUUCACUGACCUAAGAUAGUCAUAAACCUCACACUUAAUAGGAAGGAACUGGGCAAUAGGCAUCAGGACGCUAUGCAGGAAUCCCUGACUCCUAUUAACCCAAGGAACAAACUGGACUAAGAAAGGAACCCAGCUUUGAAACUGUUUCAGAAGGACAUCAAGGAAAUCUUCAACCCAAACAGCUGUUUCUGAGAAAGUUAUCUCUCACAAUCUGCCUACCAAUGCUAUCUAUCCCCCAGCCUCUCCAUCUCUGCCUUGAAGUGGGAAGAGUUUCAUUACCAAGCUCUGAGGCUCAAGACAGAAAGGAAGGCUGCCGUGUGGCGUGUGCUGUGUGCCGGGCUCCAUGUCUG